UCAGGAUGAACGCUAGCGGCAGGCCUAACACAUGCAAGUCGAGGGGUAACAGAGAGAAGCUUGCUUCUUUGCUGACGACCGGCGCACGGGUGCGUAACGCGUAUACAAUCUACCUUUUGCUGAGGGAUAGCCCAGAGAAAUUUGGAUUAAUACCUCAUAGUAUAUAUGAAUCGCAUGGUUUAUAUAUUAAAGGUUACGGCAGAAGAUGAGUAUGCGUUCUAUUAGCUAGAUGGUGUGGUAACGGCACACCAUGGCAACGAUAGAUAGGGGCCCUGAGAGGGGAUCCCCCACACUGGUACUGAGACACGGACCAGACUCUACGGGAGGCAGCAGUGAGGAAUAUUGGACAAUGGGCGAGAGCCUGAUCCAGCCAUGCCGCGUGCAGGAAGACUGCCCUAUGGGUUGUAAACUGCUUUUAUACAGGAAGAAACACUCCCUCGUGAGGGAGCUUGACGGUACUGUAAGAAUAAGGAUCGGCUAACUCCGUGCCAGCAGCCGCGGUAAUACGGAGGAUCCAAGCGUUAUCCGGAAUCAUUGGGUUUAAAGGGUCCGUAGGUGGAUAAUUAAGUCAGGGGUGAAAGUCUGCAGCUCAACUGUAGAAUUGCCUUUGAUACUGGUUAUCUUGAAUUAUUAUGAAGUAGUUAGAAUAUGUAGUGUAGCGGUGAAAUGCAUAGAUAUUACAUAGAAUACCAAUUGCGAAGGCAGAUUACUAAUAAUAUAUUGACACUGAUGGACGAMAGCGUGGGGAGCGAACAGGAUUAGAUACCCUGGUAGUCCACGCCGUAAACGAUGGAUACUAGCUGUUCGGAUUUAUCUGAGUGGCUAAGCGAAAGUSAUAAGUAUCCCAGCCUGGGGAGUACGUUCGCAAGAACUGAMACUCAAAGGAAUUGACGGGGGGCCCGCACAAGCGGUGGAGAUGUGGUUUAA
rnacentral:rRNA from 1 species